rnacentral:rRNA from 1 species
GACGAACGCUGACAGAAUGCUUAACACAUGCAAGUCUUUGGCGAAGCUGUGCUUGCACAGCCUAGCCAAGGCGGACGGGUGAGUAACGCGUAAGGAACUUGCCCUGCAGUCAGGGAUAACAGACGGAAACGACUGAUAAGACCUGGUAAAGUCAGGCGGACUCAUGUCCAGCCUGAUGAAAAGAGAUGCUGCAGGAGAGCCUUGCGUCCUAUUAGCUUGUUGGUGGGGUAACGGCCCACCAAGGCGAUGAUAGGUAGCCGGCCUGAGAGGGUGGACGGCCACAAGGGGACUGAGAUACGGCCCGUACUCCUACGGGAGGCAGCAGUGGGGAAUAUUGGACAAUGGGGGCAACCCUGAUCCAGCAAUUCUGUGUGCACGAUGAAGGUUUUCGGAUUGUAAAGUGCUUUCAGCAGGGAAGAAAAAAUGACGGUACCUGCAGAAGAAGCGACGGCUAAAUACGUG